GUGAACCUGGGGGCUGCAUGAUGCGCUCCAAACACAGGGCCCCGGGGCUGUGCGGGGCACCCUGCCGGGCAGAGGUCACAUCCUCAGAGCAGAUAUCACCUUCCUGGAAGAAACCAGUGUUUUCUGAGGAGCUCAAGUUCACUGUGCAGAGGUUGACUGUCGUUCAGUGUCAUUUAGACAGGACUUCAAAGACCACUUAAUGAGCGAAUAAAAGAAGAUAAUGUAUUCCAUACUGUUAUAAUUUAUAAUCCCUAAUUAUG